rnacentral:lncRNA from 1 species
CAACCGCUUAUAUUUAAUCAUUUCUAUAGUUUUAAGGAAUGUUAAAGUUGUGAAAUAUCUAAAAGAGUUUUAAAAACUUUUGGAAAGGUGCCAAUAGUCUAAAUCUCAAAAACAAAAUAAUAACAAUACAAUUAUAGACGUUUCAACAAAAAAAAGAUAUGUGCACAAAAAUAUCGUUGUUUUUUUUAUAAUUAAGGUGUAUUUAUUUUAUUAAAAUUAAAAUAAUAAAUUGGUAAUAAAUGUUGGAAAAUUUUCAAAAUAAAUGUGUCUUAUGGUAAAGACAUGUCCUAUUAAUUGUGCCUUAUAGAAAAGGUACCUUUCACUAAAGACUUAUCUAAUAAAAUGAUUUCUUGUUGUAAGGACAUGUCUAUUUAAUUGUGUCUUGUAGAAAAUGUAUCUUUUUACUAAAUGAUAUAACUUUUCAUGGCAACAUUUCACUUAGAGAUGCAUCAUUUCAUAGUGACAUUUCAUUUGAAAUGGUGAUGGUUCAAUUUGGACCAUUGAUUAAAAUCAAAUCUAGAUCCAAUGGCCAUGAAUGAAGGGGUAUCAUGAAAAAUGAUAACCCAAAUAAGGGGGCACAAGUAUAUCUAUAAAUAGGGGUCAUGUUUAAGCCAUUUAGACAUGAAAUGAAUGAUCCUACACCACUCUUUUCUUAGCAUUCCUUUCUAGUACGAAUUUCAACACAAAACACCCAUUUCUUUUGUGCAUUCACAUUCCAAUAUAUUGUUUUCUGCAUGAACAAUAUAUUGUUUCUUGGCAGGCUUGCAACAUUCAAAAGUAUUCUGGUUUGCUUUCGUCGAUGCACAACUCAAGCAAACAAACAAGUGCUUCAUUGUAUUCUGGAGGCGUAUUUGUUUAAUCCAUGUGCAUCACUCAAUUGGUGGGGGCAAAUAACGUCUUAAGGAAAGCGACAUUUGUAACGUGCCUUGAAGCACACAAAAUUUCUGCAGUUUCUUCUUACAUACAGAGUUAGUUGUAAGCACAUUACUUUACAUAAUAAAGUUCCACUAUUAUUGUCGUAUUUCUCUACAUUUGCCAUUCCCCAUAAUUUUACCACUAACAAUAAAUAAUAGAGGAAAAGAAAAAUUAACUACCACGAAUAUAAGAACCCUAACUUUUUCUGUUUAUUUUAUUAGUUCCAGUUGUGAGAACGGAGCGAAUGGAUAAGGGUCGCGGGGACGCCAAAACGUUGGUUGAGAAAGAAGGCCAAAAUUGUGAGUCUUGGCACAUAAUGGUAAUUUGCCUUCAUUUCUUAAACAUGAAUUGGACUUCGAUUAAAUACCAUUUCAAAUGCCCAAAUGGAACUUCUAUAUAUUUGUUUUGAAAAAAAAUAAAUUAAAUGGGCCAAAUAUAUAACGUGUUUUUCGAAAAAUUUCAAAACAUGCCCCUCGUAAACUCGUAUUCGGUGAUUCCAUUACAAUAAAAGACCCUAAACCAUAAAACUUAGAGAUCAAUUGGGAAGUAAAUUUAAUUAUAAGACACAUCCACCAAUGCACUAACUUGCUAUAACAAAGAGCUCCAUCACGGGGGUUUCGUUCAAAAUUUUUAUUUUAAUUUGAGAAAAUUGGUUAUAAAAUUGUGUUGUUGUAUAAAUUUGAAUUAAGGUUUUCAAAGUUACAAGUAGAACUCUUGUUCUUUGAUACUUACUGAUUUUUUUUAAUGAUCAUUUUCAAUGUACUAAAUAUAUUGACACACUCUGCCCAGAGAAUUCUAUAAUCAAAUGCCGAAAACUCAUUAAGAGAUGUGUUGUACAAAUUCUAUAUUGUUAAUCUAUAAUUACAAUACUCAUAAUUGCUCCCACCAAGAUACCGGGUAAUCUUGACUACAAAUAUGUGUCAUGUGUAUUGGUAACUCAAAUGGAAUAAUAAUUACAAUCACGAAAUUAUAACUAACUCACGAUUAAGAUUACAGUAAAAUCAAUGCCUAUGAGUUUUAAUAAGUCUGACAGUUAUUACAAAGUUAAUUAAAUCUCAUAUGUGAUCAUGUUUAAUAUAGUCGUUUAAUUAAAUCUCAUAUGUGAUCAUGUUUAAUAUAGUCGUACUACAUCAAUAACUUCAUACAUGAUUAAGACAAAUUAUUUAAUGAAUUUAUUACAGUCUAAACAUAAAUAGAGCGCCCAACUCUUUUUAUCAACUUCGAACUUAAUUUAUUCAAUCAUAAGAUAACUUGUAUUUAUGUCUUCUGUGAAUCCAUAUGAUGAUCACAUAAAUACAUAUAAUAUGAUUAAACG